UACGUAGGGUGCAAGCGUUGUCCGGAAUUAUUGGGCGUAAAGAGCUCGUAGGCGGUUUGUCACGUCUGCUGUGAAAACUGGAGGCUCAACCUCCAGCUUGCAGUGGGUACGGGCAGACUAGAGUGCGGUAGGGGAGAUUGGAAUUCCUGGUGUAGCGGUGGAAUGCGCAGAUAUCAGGAGGAACACCGAUGGCGAAGGCAGAUCUCUGGGCCGUAACUGACGCUGAGGAGCGAAAGCGUGGGGAGCAAACAGG
rnacentral:rRNA from 1 species